rnacentral:rRNA from 1 species
UACGGAGGGUGCGAACGUUAAUCGGAAUCACUGGGCGUAAAGCGCGCGUAGGCGGUUUGCUAAAUGGGAUGUGAAAUCCCCGGGCUUAACCUGGGAAUUGCAUUUCAAACUGGCCGACUAGAGUACGGUAGAGGGAGGUAGAAUUUCCUGUGUAGCGGUGAAAUGCGUAGAUAUAGGAAGGAAUACCAGUGGCGAAGGCGGCCUCCUGGAUCGAUACUGACGCUGAGGCGCGAAAGCCGUGGGGAGCAAACAGG